rnacentral:piRNA from 1 species
UUCCNGAAGCAGGGCAUGAACUGCAGAGUUU